rnacentral:piRNA from 1 species
UAUACUUCAGAACCCUCUUCUCACAUCUGC